UACGUAGGGAGCAAGCGUUGUCCGGAAUCAUUGGGCGUAAAGAGCGCGUAGGUGGCUUUAUAAGUCCGUUGUGAAAGUCAAAGGCUCAACCUUUGAAAGCCGAUGGAUACUGUGAAGCUAGAGUACGGAAGAGGCGAGUGGAAUUCCUGGUGUAGCGGUGGAAUGCGCAGAUAUCAGGAGGAACACCAAUAGCGAAGGCAGCUCGCUGGGACGUUACUGACACUGAGGCGCGAAGCGUGGGGAGCGAACAGG
rnacentral:rRNA from 1 species